rnacentral:rRNA from 1 species
GACGAACGCUGGCGGCGUGCUUAACACAUGCAAGUCGAACGGAAAGGCCCCUUCGGGGGUACUCGAGUGGCGAACAGGUGAGUAACACGUGAGUAACCUGCCCUUGACUUCGGGAUAACUUCAGGAAACUGGGGCUAAUACCGGAUAGGAAUCCUUGCUGCAUGGUGGGGGUUGGAAAGCUUCGGCGGCUUUGGAUGGACUCGCGGCUUAUCAGCUUGUUGGUGGGGUAGUGGCUUACCAAGGCUUUGACGGGUAGCCGGCCUGAGAGGGCGACCGGCCACAUUGGGACUGAGAUACGGCCCAGACUCCUACGGGAGGCAGCAGUGGGGAAUAUUGCACAAUGGGCGGAAGCCUGAUGCAGCAACGCCGCGUGCGGGAUGACGGCCUUCGGGUUGUAAACCGCUUUCAGCAGGGGCGAAGCUUGUGGUGACGGUACCUGCAGAAGAAGCACCGGCUAACUACGUG